GAUGAACGCUGGCGGCGUGCUUAACACAUGCAAGUCGAACGGAAAGGCCCAAGCUUGCUUGGGUACUGGAGUGGCGAACGGGUGAGUAACACGUGGGUGAUCUGCCCUGCACUUCGGGAUAAGCCUGGGAAACUGGGUCUAAUACCGGAUAGGACCACAUUUUGGAUGGUGUGGUGGAAAGUUUUUCGGUGUGGGAUGAGCUCGCGGCCUAUCAGCUUGUUGGUGGGGUAAUGGCCUACCAAGGCGUCGACGGGUAGCCGGCCUGAGAGGGUGUACGGCCACAUUGGGACUGAGAUACGGCCCAGACUCCUACGGGAGGCAGCAGUGGGGAAUAUUGCACAAUGGGCGCAAGCCUGAUGCAGCGACGCCGCGUGGGGGAUGACGGCCUUCGGGUUGUAAACUCCUUUCGCUAGGGACGAAGCGUUAUGUGACGGUACCUGGAGAAGAAGCACCGGCUAACUACGUG
rnacentral:rRNA from 1 species